rnacentral:lncRNA from 10 species
GCCGGCAGCCUCUGCAUCUCCACCCUGGGCCUGUGGGACCACGCGGGGCUCUCAGACGGCUUCCCACUGGCUGUGGGCUGAAGACAGGAGGGAGGUGCGCAGAGAUGAGGAUGAGGUGCCCUAGGAGGGGCCCCUCUCCAGCCUGGAGUGUCCACUGCAAGUGGAGUCCUAGACGGCGGUGGGCAGCCAGUAGUCACUAAAGAGUCUGACACGACAUGUCACAAGCCCUGCCCGGAACCCUGUUCCCACAAAUGGUGGGGAAGGACCACCCCUGGUCUCCAGAAAUGAAUCUGAAAAUUCGCUGGUUUGGGAGCCGUGAGAGCAGCUCCGUCAUUUGUUCGACCCCCGUUCAGGGAGUAUUUCCUGGGAGCCUCUAAGUGCAUCUGCGGAGAAGGCUGGAAAGCAGGGCCCUGCUGGUCCAGAAGCUCUGACAAGCAGCGGGAAGCUACUGGAGCCCAGCGUGGUCCCGCAGGCCCGGGGUGGAGACUCAGGGGCUGGUCGGUGCCACUCGUGGUCCCCCAGGCCAGAGCAGCCCAGGCCUCUGCUGGAAACUCAAGCGCUCUCUGAUUUAAAUGAAGACGCCUUGAAGAGCUCCGGCUGUCCUGGAUGGAUGAAGCAGCAUAGGCAUGACUUGGAAGGAUGUGCGGUGGAAGGGGGGUCGCUUCACUGCCAAGAAACCCUUCCUGAGUCUUCUGGAAAUUUCAGGAAAGGCUGCUCAUCCCAGGAGGCUGAAAAAGGUACAUUGUCUGCGAUUGCUGUCACUCUGAUACAUGAGAAAUACAUGGGAGGGAGUUUGAAAUGACAUUGAAUGAACUUGAGCAUACCUGGUCUUUGGCCUACUUUCCUACAGGGUCUCACUCUGCUGCCUAGGCUGCAAUGCGGUGGCACGACCAUGGCUCAGUGCGUCCUCAACUCCUGGGCUCAAGUGAUCCUCCCACCUCGGCCUCCUGAGUAGCUGGGACUACAGUUGCACACCACCAGAUCCGACUAAUUUGCAGUUCUGUCCGGCGUACAGUGUGAGAUGGGAAUCAACUUUUGUCUUCAUCCAGAUGGUAAAUUAAAUGUUAUUUAUGAAAAAUCCAUUGCUUAAGGUAGUGAUCUGAGAAGCGAAGUUUACCAAUGGCUCAAUAGCGAUUUGAGAAGCGAACUUUACCGAUGACUCAAUGCGUGUUUUACUUUGGUCCUGGGCUUUCUACUCUCACCUCAUGUCUGGUCUGUAUGGCGGGUCUGACACCGUGGGAUGCAGAGAUACAAAUCUGCCUGCCUGUCGCCUCCUCUCAUGGAAACGGUGCAUAGCUCGCCUUUCAUGAUUUAUAAAGUCAAAGCCUUUUUAACUUAGGUAACUAUUAUUAAAGGUAAAGUGUUGUCAAAAUUACAGGGAUCCUUUGGUUAAUGCUGGGGAGAAAAUCAUAAAAUCAUGAAGUUUUUGGAAUAAAUUAUUUCCUCAGACUUUGAGAUAGACAUUUUAGCCACUACACAUUGGCUCAGCCAAUAUUGUGGAAUUCUCUAUUUCUUGCUUAUUAGACAAACGUUGAAUUUUCUUUUCAUGUCUGAAUUAUUAUUUUUUCUUCCCUCCAUACAAGGCAUUCCCUCUAUUAACUCUUAUUCAUUGCUGACACUGCAAGGUAUUUCAGAUUGGGAAAUAGUUGUAAAAAUAAAGACAAUGUAUUAGAAGGGAACAACUGUUGAAAUAUUACUUUAAGCAGAAGUCACAGACUAUAGUUUAUCUUCUUCUAUUAAUAAAAUGAGAUGCUUUCCCUCGACAAAAGCAGUACCAAGUUGAAGAGGGUCACGGCUUUCCAGCCGAGAGUGAAACAGUUUGAGCAAUGCAGCGUGCAGGCUCGCGGGAGGGGCGCUCCGUCUCCCCAGAGCACAGCUGGGAGGUUCCCGCAUGCAGCCCAGGCUUGAUCUCCUCCUGGUGAGAGGGGACCGGCUCCAGGGCAGGCAGGGGAGGCCCGUCCAUCACUCACAGUGAGAUUUUGGCCUACUGUGGUUUCUAGGGAAAUAAAUCUCUUCUUCCAGUCCCUGAAAGAACAUAACCCAUGCUUCCAAAUGACUUAAAACAAUUCAGGUUUCAUUGAAAAGAAAAUAUGUUUAACAUUAUAUGAUUUUCGCUUUUUUAGAGACUUUUAUGUCAGUGAGAGGGAGAACACAAAUGCUGAUUUAAGGAAGUGUUGAAGGGCAUUUCCCCAAGUUGUUCUUUUCCUCUGAGGGGUUUUAAAACCUUACAAUGCUGGCCGGACGCGGUGGCUCAUGCCUGUAAUCCCAACACUUUGGGAGGUUGAGGCAGGUGGAUCACCUGAGGUCAGGAGUUCAAGACCAGCCUGGCCAACAUGGUAAAACCCAUCUCUACUAAAACUACAAAAAUUAGCCAGGCAUAGUGGCGAGUGUCUGUAGUCCCAGCUACUCGGGAGGCUGAGGCAGGAGAAUCGCUUGAACCCAGGAGAUGGAGGUUGCAGUGAGCCAAGCAAGAUCAAGCUACUGCACUCCAGCCUGGGCAACAGAGCGAGACUCCAUCUCAAAACAAACAAACAAACAGAAAAACUUUACAAUGCUGAUAAACUUAAAAAUUAUGAAACACAGCUCUUCUUGUCCUCCUGGGGCGCCCCCCAUCACCCCCAUCACAGCCCAGCCUUCUUCUGCUCCUCUCUGUUCUGAGGGAACUUCCCAUCCUUGUCUUUUUAUGGCCGUCUCAGCAUUUUCCCAGGUGUGUGGCUGUCCCUAAGUUAACCCCGGUUUAGCACACGGGAUGUGAUGCUGAGUGAUGGGAGUUCCUCAGAUAAAAGUGGCGGAUCUUCUUUGACUCAUCUUUUCCUUCCUCCCUCUCUAUCUCAAAUUAGAGUGAGAUCAAAUAUAGUGAAAAUGUUACUAGAGACUUUGGGUUUUAAAUCUCUGUAAACCCAGUGAAACACACUAUUUCUGGGGUGUGCACGAUGUGGUCAGUUAGUUACAAAUGCCUUUUUAUCUAGUGAGAGGUGUUUGGGCAAUCCAUGUGCACACAGAGGAGCGUUUCUGGUGAUUUGAUCAAAUCCAAGUGAGCUAGCUCGUUAGUACCUGUGGCAAGUUUAGAACUUCUGAACUCACAAACAUAUUAAGAAAUUUCCUAGGUUCACAGUGAUUUUUGGUAAACAUGAAUUUAAGUACCAAAAGAGGCAGAAUAAUAGUUUGCAAAGUUGUGUUUCCUUUGAGCUUCUGACUCAAAAGUUACAUCAAAGAUGUCCCUGCCUACCCUUAAUAUUUAAGUAAUGGAAUAAAGCUUAAGGGCCCCGAGACUCAGGAGGAUGCCCACAGGGAGAGGCAGGUAGCGCAGCACCUGGCAUUUAGUGGCUCAGCCCUGGAAUGCUAGAGCCUUGGGUUUUCCUUACAAUUGGGAUGGGAUUGGCCACACCUAUCAACAAUUUCUGUUCACUAGCCAAUUAUAAGAAGUUUAUGCAUGCCUAGACCAUUAAAAAAAAAGAAAAGAAACGUUCGGGGGGCCUGACUUUGUUAGCAUGGCCAAAUGAUCUGUUUUUAAUGUAAAUAUUUUGCUACAUUAAAGUUAUCAAAUCAAAGAUUCUGCUGUUCUUUUGUUCUAAAUAUUUUUGGAUGAUACUUUGGCAGAUGCAUGCCAGACAAGCUAUGUAAGACAACUUCAAGUGAUGUGGCCCUUUUUGGGAAUUCGUGGCGUUUGACUUGCCGAGGUUUGCAGGCUGAGAUGUGGUUAUAGGCAGAGAUGAGCAGCCCAGGGGAAGCCUGUGCUUUGCAUGAUGGCAUGGCCAGAUGAUCAGAUCCAUUCUUAUCUGAGAAGGGGAGAGAGAGGGAGGGAGAGAAAGAGAGGAGGGGAGGAAGGAGGACAGGGAGAGAGGCAGCAGAAAGGUGUAAGGAAGACCUCCUAGGACCUGGGUUAUCACUGCCCAGCUGCUGGGCCUCAUUACACUGAAGAUUGUGCAAUUACAUUGAUUUAUUGUUAGAAAAAGAUGUUUAGACUUCUGGGCUCCCCUGAUUUAGGAAGUGUGUGGGGGUGUUGAAGCGGGUGGCUAUGCGUUCUUCCAAGGAUUCAAACAUGCCCGAAUUUAGGGUUCAGGGUCAGGAACUGUGUAGCAAUGAGGGUGGGAGAACCUUUAUGGAGGGUGAACUGCAGAGAGCUCUGCUGGGCUGCUGAGACCAACCUUUCCAUGAAGAGAAGGAGAAAGAAGUCAGAAUCUGCAGCAGGACCGAGUUCCGGUGUGAACUGAGAGGUGUGCAAUUCUGCCUGAAAAAAGCCCCCUGCCCCAGUGUUGGGGACAGCCAUUACUCUCCACAGUGAACAGAAAGACAAACGCCCCGAACAAGACAGAAACAUUAGAAAAACUGAUUUUCCUCAAUGAAGAACGUUUUUAUCA